UACGUAGGGUGCGAGCGUUGUUCGGAAUUACUGGGCGUAAAGGGCUCGUAGGCGGCCAACUAAGUCAGACGUGAAAUCCCCAGGCUCAACCUGGGAACUGCGUCUGAUACUGGAUGGCUUGAAUCCGGGAGAGGGAUGCAGAAUUCCAGGUGUAGCGGUGAAAUGCGUAGAUAUCUGGAGGAAUACCGGUGGCGAAGGCGGCAUCCUGGACCGGCAUUGACGCUGAGGAGCGAAAGCCAGGGGAGCAAACGGG
rnacentral:rRNA from 1 species